rnacentral:rRNA from 1 species
UACGGAGGGUGCAAGCGUUAUCCGGAUUCACUGGGGUUAAAGGGUGCGUAGGCGGACAGGUAAGUCAGUGGUGAAAUCUCUGGGCUUAACCCAGAAACUGCCGUUGAGACUAUUUGUCUUGAAUAUCCUGGAGGUAGGCGGAAUAUGUCAUGUAGCGGUGAAAUGCUUAGAUAUGACAUAGAACACCAAUUGCGAAGGCAGCUGGCUACACGAAUAUUGACACUGAUGCACGAAAGCGUGGGGAUCAAACAGG